rnacentral:lncRNA from 1 species
CCCCUCUCUCUCCCACCCUGUGGUCAGAAAUGCUGCUCUGCAAGAGAGCAAUAAAUUUGCAAGUAAACAGGCAUUUACAAUCUACUUCAGUGUUUAUAUACUAAAACUUGUCUUUCUGCCUUAGCUUUCUCAGUAGUUGGUCCUUGCUAAACUGGCUCUUUAAUUUUGAGGCAAUGUUUGCACUGUCUUGAAGAAGAGCCACGUUCACAGCCGAAUGGGUCUUCUGCAAGUGAAUGAAUUCAAUGAAUUAUUUACUGAAACUCUUGGGAUGUAACUGCUGUCCUGUCAAUAACUUUAGCUUUUGAAUGAAUUAUGGGGUCUAGGAAACUGGCCCCAAGGAAUUUCUUAGGGGAGCAGGAAAGGAAUAUAUUUUACACCAGCCUUGAGAUAUCCACUGUCCUAAAGUUGGAGGCUAUCAUUCCUAAGCGAUGAGCAAGCACCUAGUGAAGCUGCAAAUGCGCGAUCUCCAUGACUUUGUGAUUUGCCUUCUAGGUAUCUAUUUUAAAGGAACUCUCACACAUGUGCACGAGAGACAUUUUUAAGAAACUUAAUCACAGCAUUGUUCAUCGCCGUGAAAAAAUGUGACUAACAUAAUAGCCCUCAGUAGAGGGAUGAAUAAAGAAACCCUGGUUUAGUCAUACAAUGCAACCCUAUUUGUCAGCUGAAAAAAUGCCUUGGAGCUUAUGAACUGCAGAAGAUGAGGCAAGUUUGAACAUGUUUAAAUGCUGCUGGGAAGGAUGCAAUACGGAGCCAGAGGCUGAAGAUAUAGGAAAAACAAGACAACCAGUGGAUGAACUCCCCCUACAAUUUUUGAAGCUGCUGUGUUCUUCUUUCCAGAGAUUUCUCUUAUCGCCAGUUUCUUGCAUGUCUCUAGAGGUAUCUACAGAAUUCAGGUACAGAGAGGGAGACACCUUUACAGAUGGAGAUUUCCUUUACAAAUGUAAAUGUCUCUUAAAAAGGGUCUGUGUCCUAUUCUCCUCUUCUUAUAAGGACACCAGUCAUAUUGGAUUCGGACACACCCAUAAGACCUCAUUUUACCUUAAUUAUCUCCUUAAAGAGUCUGUCUCCAAACACAGUCACAUGCUGAGGUACUGGAGAAAGGACAUCAACAUAGGAAUUUUGGAGGGACACAAUUCAGCCCAUAAUGCCAUCUUAUAAUAAAUAAUGCUUUCCUAAAGGAAUAACCUACAUUAUACUCAAUUGUGAAAUACCGUUUCUUUUACAAUAUAAAAUAAAAGAAAAAACUUUAUUUUUUAUUUCAAAAAAUGUCUUUUGUUUUUAACUUUUCUGGAACUUCUAGACAAAACAAUUUGACAUAAAACAACAACGGAAAGAAGUGCAGCAAAAGGGAGAAAACAAAAUUAUUAUCUGUAGAUGGUAUGACUAUCCAAUUAGAACCACAUCCCAUCCCAAAAUGGCUGAAAAUGUCUUCCAAUAUUGAGGUAUUCUUUAAGAUCUUGGAUAAAAAU